UCACAAAAUUAUCACUCCCUCCUGAAAAUCUGGGGGAAAAAAAACUUGCUAAAAACAUGGUAUUUGAAGCAGUGGCUCAGACUUCCUCACUGUUCACAAUUUCUUCUGAUCUUUAGACUGCAAAAAUCUACUUGCCACCUUUAAGCCUGCACUAUGUGCACUCAGUCUUCAUAUCAACAGAAAACUCACCUAUAAGAAUGGAGAGUCUUUUUUUCCUCAGUCAUUUCUAUUUUACAACUUCUGCAGUUUCUCCAAUGAUUUGUUUUUCUUUUCUCUCCUACAUCUCUGACUUGCUAUGAACAAUGUAAAGAGGCAACAGAAUAAAAAUUGUAACAAGCCAGAAUUUUGCUUGCUACUUUUUAAUAGCUUGAAGUCCAGAAUAACCAAGGAAGAUCCUUCUGGGACUUUGAAUUUAUAUAUUCAUUCACAAAUUUACAGUGAAAGAUUUUCUCAGCUGUUCUCAUUAUCACUGAACUGUGCAGAUGUAAGUCCACCUACUAAUCUAUAACCUAGAUUUGCCAGCUAGUCAAAGCAUGAACCAAACUUACUGCAAUUUUAACAAGCCUGAAAAGAGGGCAAGGUUUUCUCCAAGCUGUUUUUAUUUUGAGAUUGAACUGCUUUACUGUAUGUAGAAGGCUUUAAAUAGUAAUCUAAUAUCAACUCAUCUUUCAAAAUGGAUGAGAAAAUAAUUUUAGUUAGUGGAGAUUGCAAUUAACAUAGUAAUCUACAUAAUAUAAUCCAAGCUCAUUUUAUGUUUGCAUAGGCAAGAGCAGAAGCUGAGUCUGGAAGAGAAUAAAAUAUGGCCUUUCUGCACUUGUGACUCUCAUGACUCAUCAGUCAUCUGCUAUUGGUUAUUUUAAAUGUUAUCUUUACAGAUUCCCAGGGAAAAUUUAGAAAGAAGGAUAAAAAGAAAGAAUGAAAACAAAAUUCAAAACUAUAAAUGCCUAGAGAGAUGUUUAGUCCUUUUUGAUUGGGUGUUCUCCAUUUCACAAGUCAUCCAGCAGCUUUUCAUGCAAGAAACGACACAAAUGCCACUAUUCCACUCUGGGAUGGAUAGGAUAGUGUGCUGAACUUCUUCCAUUCACCAAAUGACAUAGUUACAUGUCAUUAAAAUAUUUUUAAACUGAAUAUGUGUUUGCAUUCAUAAUGGAGCAGAGAAUUAACGCACUAAUCUGUAAUGCAGAUAUUAGUCCUUCCUGGAAUCUCAAGAAGGCUCUGCUAGAUGGGUGGAAGAACUGUACUUAUGUGUAGUUACAAGUCAGGAAAUAUCAAAGAAAUGCUUCUGGUACAACUAUAACUGAGUGAGAAGACAUCCAGAGCCUACUACAGAUGCCAGAUAUCAGAAGGGAUGACAAGGUGGAGCAGAGAGCUUCUAAAAUGUAUCUUGAGGGAAGAAAAGCACAUCUGUAACUACAGCGCUGUGAUCCAUCUACACAAAUCUGUAGCAGGAAGAUCAUGAAACACAGGUUGCAGUAUUUCCCUCAAACUUUUAGAGACAUUUAUUCUGGGUACCUGAAGUCCUGUAAAGGUGAUGGAUGGCUACCUCAACUAAAGAUCUAAAUGGAGUUUUUUGAGCUGUGGUGUUGCCACACCAGAUUUCCGCCUCUUCUUCUCCCACUUGGAACAUCGGGGGAUAGGAUCAACAUUUACCACCACUCUAUCAAUCACCAGAGGCAACACUAGCCAAUGCUGAUAACAGGUUGACCUGAAGACUGCUAUCCCAUGCCUGUGCAAUGAACUUCCUCACUGUUGUAGUCCCAGCCUCUCCAGCAUUUAAAAACUGUAGAAUAUGCAAUCCAGAUGCUUUUAGAUUUGAGUAACAUUGAUCACUUGAAAAAAUUCUGCUCUGAAGAGAGCUAUCAUCACAGAAACCACUGUAGUUUAGUCAUAGUUUUAUUUGAAAAAUAAGAAUACAUAUUCACUUUGAUAUUUUUUGUCGCUAAAGGCCUUACCCUGUACCCACCAGUGUUCAUGGCAAAACUCCUAUUAACUUCAGUGGCAACAAAAGCAGUCACUUCAUUUUCAUUAUCUGCAGAAAGUAAAUAUUUUAACACUUGUUAUCUGUGUUACUUAAGUAGCUAAUCAAACUGUGCGUGUAAAAACUGGUUCAUUUUUAUCUAAACAACUGCUAAAAAAUGACUUUCAAAAUGGACAGAAUAAAGGCAAAAAAUAUUACAUAAAUGAA